CCUACGGGGGGCUGCAGUGGGGAAUAUUGGACAAUGGGGGGAACCCUGAUCCAGCCAUGCCGCGUGUGUGAAGAAGGCCCUCGGGUUGUAAAGCACUUUCAGUGAGGAAGAACGCCUGGUGGUUAAUACCCAUCAGGAAAGACAUCACUCACAGAAGAAGCACCGGCUAACUCCGUGCCAGCAGCCGCGGUAAUACGGAGGGUGCGAGCGUUAAUCGGAAUUACUGGGCGUAAAGCGCGCGUAGGUGGCUUGAUAAGCCGGUUGUGAAAGCCCCGGGCUCAACCUGGGAACGGCAUCCGGAACUGUCAAGCUAGAGUGCAGGAGAGGAAGGUAGAAUUCCCGGUGUAGCGGUGAAAUGCGUAGAGAUCGGGAGGAAUACCAGUGGCGAAGGCGGCCUUCUGGACUGAAACUGCCACUGAGGUGCGAAAGCGUGGGUAGCAAACAGGAUUAGAUACCCGAGUAGUC
rnacentral:rRNA from 1 species